rnacentral:rRNA from 1 species
GACGAACGCUGGCGGCGUGCUUAACACAUGCAAGUCGAACGGAAAGGCCCUGCUUUUGUGGGGGGCUCGAGUGGCGAACGGGUGAGUAACACGUGAGUAACCUGCCCUUGACUUUGGGAUAACUUCAGGAAACUGGGGCUAAUACCGGAUAGGAGCUCCUGCUGCAUGGUGGGGGUUGGAAAGUUUCGGCGGUUGGGGAUGGACUCGCGGCUUAUCAGCUUGUUGGUGGGGUAGUGGCUUACCAAGGCUUUGACGGGUAGCCGGCCUGAGAGGGUGACCGGCCACAUUGGGACUGAGAUACCGCCCAGACUCAUACGGGAGGCAGCAGUGGGGAAUAUUGAACGAUGGGCGGAAGCCUGAUGCAGCAACGCCGCGUGCGGGAUGACGGCCUUCGGGCUGUAAACCGUUUUCGCCUGUGACGAAGCGUGAGUGACGGUAAUGGGUAAAGAAGCACCGGCUAACUACGUG